AUUGAACGCUGGCGGCAGGCCUAACACAUGAAAGUCGAGCGAGCGGCGGACGGGUGAGUAAUGUCUGGGAAACUGCCUGAUGGAGGGGGAUAACUACUGGAAACGGUAGCUAAUACCGCAUACCAUCAGAUGUGCCCAGAUGGGAUUAGCUUGUAGGUUGGGUAAUGGCUCAACUUGGCGACCAGCCCUAGCUGGUCUGAGAGGAUGACCAGCCACACGGGAACUGAGACACGGUCCAGACUCAUACGGGAGGCAGCAGUGGGGAAUAGUGCACAAUGGGCGCAAGCCUGAUGCAGCCAUGCCGCGUGUGUGAAGAAGGCCUUCGGGUUGGAAAGCACUUUCAGCGGGGAGGCGUUACCCGCAGAAGAAGCACCGGCUAACUCCGUGCCAGCAGCCGCGGUAAUUC
rnacentral:rRNA from 1 species